GACGGAGGGUGCGAGCGUUGUUCGGAAUUACUGGGCGUAAAGCGUACGUAGGCGGUUGGUUAAGUCGAAUGUUAAAGCUCGGAGCUCAACUCCGUAGAUGCAUUCGAUACUGGUCAACUAGAGGGUGGCAGAGGAAAGCGGAAUUCCAAGUGUAGCGGUGAAAUGCGUAGAUAUUUGGAGGAACAUCGGUAGCGAAAGCG
rnacentral:rRNA from 1 species